UAGGUUUUUGUUUUUCAAGUCUGUAUGUAUUUUAAAUAUGAACCCCUAAAUGAUGAGGACAAGACUUGAUUAUUGUGAGAAACACGCUCACCCAUCCAAACCCGAAGAAUGGACUCAGAAGCACAAAGAAUAGCUAAAUACUGUUUCAUUAUCCCAGCCUACAUCUUUCUCCCAUGCUGGAUGCUUCCUGCCCUUGAACGUCAGACUCCAAGUUCUCCAGUUUUGAGACUCAGACUGGCUCUCCUUGCUCCCCAAGCUUGCAGGCAACCUAUUGUAGGACCUUGUGAUUGUAUGAAACAAGUCUUUCAGCAUAUUCCUAAAAUGUGAGAAAACCUCCCAAGCACCGGUAAGGUAACAAAUGUAGAGUUAUUUUCUCUUUAACUGGUUUACAAGUCAUCAAUGAAGAGACACCAGUAUGUAAAAUUCAUUUAUCUGAAUCCAAUAGUAUUUUCAGUUUGCCAUACAUUCCCAAUAAAACAUAAUCAUCCCUAGUAUAGAAAACGUUGUCACCGAACAAACUCAAAUUUCUAUGGAGGACUAGUGGAGUGAGUUAGUACUACCAGGGGCUCCCUCAAACUGAAGACCACAAAUGGCAUCUAAAGGGAGAAACUAAUAUUUCACACAGGCAGAUUGUCGCAUUAGAGCAUGUAAACAGAUUGCCAGGCAGUGUAGGCUAGGUUAAGCUACGGUGACAAUCUCAAAGUUUUAGUGGCUUAUAAAAAUAAAGAUUUAUUAUUUACUUACAUGUCCUUUGUAGGUCAUCAAGAUACUUUUGUUCAUCACAGUCACUCAAGGACCUGUUCCAGAAAAGACUUAAUCUUGACCCAGUCUUUCCUAAGUACUAAGGCAGGGGGAAAUGGACACAGACAUGGGAAAGUAAAUAUGACAACACAG